AAAUGAUAUUCCAAAUAAUAUUAAAAAUGAAAAAAGUAACCUGAUACAGUUAACAUUGGAUGAGACUGAUUAUAGUAAAGUUAAACGGGUACAGAAAAAUAGGCCAAAAUUUAAUACUAAUUUGUGAAAAGGGGUUGUCUGCACUAUCAAAUAUUUUCCAAAAUAUUAAACUUAAGGGAUAUAAAAAUGAA